rnacentral:rRNA from 1 species
AUUAAAAUAAUUAUUUAAUUUAAAAGAUUUUGUAUUUUUAAUUAAAAUAAUAUAAAGAUUUAUUAAAUUUAAGAAAAAUUAAAAUUUAUUAUAGAUUAUUAGUAUUGAAAAAUAAAUUUUUUAUAUAGGUAAAAGAAGAAUAAUUUUGUACCUUGUGUAUCAGGGUUUAUUAAAAAUAGAUUAAAAAUUUAAUUAUCUCGAAUUUAAAAGAUCUAAUUAACUAUAAAUUUUAUUGUUAAAUAAAUAUUUAUAAUAGAUAAUUAGUAAUGAAACGUUAUUCGUUUUUAAAUAUAUCUAGUUUUUUAAGAAAAAAAUUAAAUUUUUUAGGUAAUUUGUAAAUUAAUAAAUUUUUAUUAGUUUUUAAUUAUUAAAAAAUAUAUUGAGGGAUAAGCUUUAAUAUAGAAUAUUAUAAUUAAUUUUUAAAAAUUAAGUUUUAUAGGAUUAAAAAUUUCUUUUUUAAGUUUUUAAUAAUUUAAUUUAAUAAAUAUAAAAUUUUUAUUUAAUUUAAGUUUUUUAUUAAAAUGUUUUAAUAAUUUAUAUUUUAAAAGAAAUAAUGAUAAAAUUAGUAUAAUUUUUUGUAAUAGUUAGUUUAAUUUAAAUAUAAAUUAUAAGAAUUCGGCAAAUUUAUUUUUCAAAUGUUUAUUAAAAACAUUUCUUUUUGAUAAUAAUUUAAAGUAGGACCUGCCCACUGAAUAUUUUGAAGGGCCGCAGUAUUUUGACUGUGCAAAGGUAGCAUAAUCAUUAGUUUUUUAAUUGAAAGCUGGAAUGAAUGGUUUAAUGAAAAAAUAACUUUUUUUGAUUUAAUAAUUUAGAAUUUUAUUUUUAAGUUAAAAAGCUUAGAUAUACUUAUAAGACGAGAAGACCCUAUAGAGUUUUAUUUUUAUUAUAUUAAAAAUUUUUAGAAUUUAAUAAUUUUAUUUUAGUAAAAAUUUAAUUGGGGUGAUUAAAAAAUUAAAAAAACUUUUUUUUAUUUAUACAUUGAUUUAUGAAUUUUUGAUCCAAUAUUUUUGAUUAAAAGAUUAAAUUACCUUAGGGAUAACAGCGUAAUUUUUCUUUAGAGUUCAUAUUAAAAGAAAAGAUUGCGACCUCGAUGUUGGAUUAAAAUUUAUUAUUGGUGUAGAAGCUAAUAUAUUAGGUCUGUUCGACCUUUAAAAUUUUACAUGAUCUGAGUUUAGACCGGUGUAAGCCAGGUCGGUUUCUAUCUUUAAAAAAAAAUUAUAUUUUAGUACGAAAGGACCAAAUAUAAAUUUAAUAAAUUUUAAUUUGAAUAUAAAU